GAGAGCAUAUGACAGGUUGUCCUGCUCUGAGUUGUUUUUGUUCAUAAAAAAUUAACUGAAUUUUGAAGCGAAGGCUCUGCAAGUAUCUGAUGUCAGGUAUUUUCUGUUGAAACUAAACAUUAAAUUUUAACUUCAACUUUCCAACAAGUGUCAAGGCUAUGGGAAUUGCAAUUUGUGUUUUUGAUAUCGACCACUCCAAAAAUGAAUUUGUUCGCCAAAAAUGUAAGCGUGCGUUUCAAGCUGUCGACCAGGAAAAAAAUAUUUAAAAAGGUUACUCUUAAUCAUGGAUGAAGAGUUAAAUGAGGUUGAGAAAAUGUUCAAACAAAUUGAAAAUGGUGAAGAUCUAUCAGAUGAAGAAG